UUGGCGGAGUUAACUUUUUCUCCCCUCAAACCUUUAACUAAUUUCAGAUAUUUGGAAUAAUUGAAAUCCUAUUUGCACUGACCCUUGCGAACCUUUGCAGCGAACGUUGCUAUAUACAACGAUGGCUGCCCCAAAAGCUUCCAAAAAGCUUAUCCCGUGCUAAUUUACCUAACAAGCGUUGCCGUUGCAGUUGUUCUUAAUUUUAUCGUAUGCUUUGGCGCCUGCAGGGACAAUAAGGCAUUUAUGAGGAUUUUCAUAAUCACGGCGGCCUUACUGAUUUUGGUGGAAGUAGUGCUCUGCAUCUGGGGACUGUCCGGGGUGCUAAACGAGAGCGCCAAAACGCACCUGAAGAAGCACGUAACGGAGAUUUUCCAGAAGAAAAUGUUCACCAACGUGCAUAACAUCCAGCAAGCUACUCUAUGUUGUGGAUUAAAUGGGCCAGAGUACUGGGGACAGCACUUACCGGAGAGUUGUUUCGAGAGAAAGGAUCGUUCGAAGAAGCAAUUCGUGAACGGUUGCUUAGAGACCUCCGGAUUUUAUUUGGCCACCGUCGUUAUUGUGCUCUCAUGUAUGGCAAUCAUUUCAGCAAUUUGCCAGGCUAUUGCUAUUGUGGCCGCUAUAUCCAUGAUCAAGGAGUCUUGGGAGGAAGACGACGACGAUUAAGACUAAGAACACGUUAUACUUGAUUGUUAAAUUUAAAAACUAAAAAUAAGAAGAAACGUUUGUUUUAGUAUUUGUACCUCUUGUCAAACAUUUGGUGGCAGUAUAAUUUUUAAAUAAAGUAGGGUCUCACGUAAUGUAGACCUGAGCGUACACCACUGUCUAGCUUUGGAAACUCUAGCUUAGCUAGUUUCAUUGAAAAAUAUUAGGAGAUUUUUAAAAUGUCAUACGACUUAAUUCAUAUUUUUCUAAGAUAACGCAGGUUUCGUGAAUAAAACCCUACCACAACUCAAAAACUAAUCAAAAAUAUUUUAAAAUUUUCUAGAGAUUCUCGUAGGGGACACUUGAGCGCUCACCAUUAUUCAGAUUUGGAAACUCUAGGACUCUAACUCUCGUAGAGUCACCCUGUACCCCUUUUGCAUACUUAAUAAGGUUUAAUUACUCUCUACCUAUUUGAAAUGGACUAUAGUUUUACUGUAAAAAUGUCGGUCACAUCCAGAUCAUACUCCACUAACGCGUCCAAACGUCACAAGGCUUUCACCACUAUGCGUUCCUGUAAGAUAUUGAUGUUUUCCAUGGUAUUUUCCAAAAUAGCAUUGGCGCUAUCAAUUAUCGGUUUAUCCUCGGAAUUCUUGGUGAUGUGCUCUGUUUACAAGCUGAAUAAGGUCUGUCCUGACCAGUUGAGCCGAUACGUGGCGAUGAUCUUUAUGUCUUUAGGGAUUGCAUUGUUUAUCACUAAUUCUGUGAUGUUUUUUGCUGUAUACAAGAACAACUCCAUCGUCUUAAGAGACACUAACACCGUGGUAAUCGUGUUUAUCUUUUUGGAGUUAGCUGUUUGCAUUUGGGGUCUGGUCGUAGGACUAUCGGAAGGCACACAUGAAUUUGUACAAGAGGAACUGUUCAGUUUGUUCGCGGGGAAUUAUUUAAACGUGAAGAACGUCCAGCAGGCAUUUUCCUGUUGCGGCUUGGACAAUCCGAAGUUUUGGGGCGAACACAUUCCCAAGAGUUGCUUCCCACAUUCAAACAGGAAGAACAAAAUGUUCCGAGAGGGUUGCUCCGUCCCGGUAUAUUCGUAUUUGAAAAUGUUCCCGGUGAGCCUAAGCGGGAUGUUCGCUGCAAUUAUGGCUUCACAGGUAAUAGGAGUUUUGGCGGCAAAAUCGAUUAUAAAAGACAUUGAAGGAGACGACGAAUGACAAUUUAAAUUAAAAACACCAAAAAACCAGUAUUAAUAUAUGAUUUUUAUUAAUAAUCGUACAACAGUUUUUCCUAUUUCCAUGUUAAAUUUUCACAAUUAGUCAUGUGGACUCCUAAAUUUCAUAAUCGGUUCAAUAACGAUCUGAAGAUUAAAAGUCGAAAAAAAGGUACUAGGCAGGUGAAAUGAGAGGUUAUGUCUGGACAUUUAUUAAAUUUUCGUUCAAUUCCUGGUCAAAAAUGAGUCCUUUCCCAUUCAAUUGUUCCAAAACAUGGAUCCUGGUGGCGAGCGUAUGCAACUACGCACUAGGACUAUCACAAAUUGCAGUAGCUUUGAUAGUACCACUGUCUUGCACCCCUAGCAAACCGGGUACGAUUUGCACACCCGCAGGAUCUACGAUGUAAUUUCGGAAUUAAUCCUCGUAUUACUUUUGUACUAUUUCUCCACGAUAUCGAUUUAUGGUGUGUGAAGAAGAGGUUGAAUUCUUUUAGCUUAAAUGGUCGUCACUAAUAAUUGCUCUUUAUACACUAAUAUGGCCUAUUGUUGUAUUAACAGUACUGGCCCAUUCAGCUGGAACCACACAAGAUGUACACGCACAAACAUGAAGUAGAUUCAACAAACGGUAUGAAGAAGCUUCCGUCGAAAAAACUCCCAAAUUAAUCCUUAAAGUUUCUGUGUAUACCAGUGGUGAUUAUAAUGUUAGUAACUGUUUUCGUGGUCAGAUCCCAUAUAGAAGCCUUGCAAGACCUUCGCAAUUAAAUAUAAAAAAAAUCGAAUGCAAUAUCCGCCACUCAAUCAAGAUCAUACUGUAAUGGUGAAAGCGCUUAACAAAUGUUGGUUGUGUGUCAACAUUUUUCGACUAUAGGGAUUAUUACGUUAGCUCAAGAAGAGCCAGUACGUUAAUAAAUAAAAGUUAAGUUUCAAA